rnacentral:rRNA from 1 species
GUUUCAGCAGCCGCGGUAAUACAGAGGGGGCAAGCGUUGUUCGGAAUUACUGGGCGUAAAGGGCGCGUAGGCGGCCUGCUAAGUCGAACGUGAAAUCCCCGGGCUUAACCCGGGAACUGCGUCCGAUACUGGCUGGCUUGAAUCCGGGAGAGGGAUGCGGAAUUCCAGGUGUAGCGGUGAAAUGCGUAGAUAUCUGGAGGAACACCGGUGGCGAAGGCGGCAUCCUGGACCGGUAUUGACGCUGAUGCGCGAAAGCCAGGGGAGCAAACGGGAUUAGAUACCCCGGUAGUCC